CAGUAGCGUAUACUAAUGUUGCUGCAGUUAAAAAGCUCGUAGUUGGAUUUCUGGUAUUUAGCUUUGGUCCGAGAGUUCCUCCGGGAGCCUUGAGUACCGAUAGUUAACUACCAUCCUAGAAGCAUUGGUUUCGGCCAGUUCUUCUACUUUUACUUUGAAAAAUUAGAGUGUUUAAAGCAAGCUUGCGCGAUGAAUACAUUAGCAUGGAAUAAUAAUAUAGGACUACGGGUUCUAUUUUGUUGGUUUCUAGACCUGAAGUAAUGAUUGAUAGGGAUAGUUGGGGGUGCUAGUAUUGAGAGGCCAGAGGUGAAAUUCUUUGAUUCUCUCAAGACUAACUUAUGCGAAAGCAUUCACCAAGGAUGUCUUCUUUAAUCAAGAACGAAAGUUGGGGGAUCGAAGACGAUCAGAUACCGU
rnacentral:rRNA from 1 species